rnacentral:rRNA from 1 species
UACAGAGGGGGCAAGCGUUAUUCGGAAUUAUUGGGCGUAAAGGGCGCGUAGGCGGCUUGGCAAGUGGAAGGUGAAAUCCCUCGGCUUAACCGAGGAACUGCCCUCCAAACUGCUUCGCUUGAGACCGGGAGAGGUGAGUGGAAUUCCCAGUGUAGCGGUGAAAUGCGUAGAUAUUGGGAGGAACACCAGUGGCGAAGGCGGCUCACUGGACCGGUACUGACGCUGAUGCGCGAAAGCGUGGGGAGCGAACCGG